rnacentral:lncRNA from 1 species
CCAGCACUGUGUGCGCCCCUCCACCUGGCACACGCCGAGGGCACACCCAGUGCAGGGAGGAGCAGGGCCGGUUCCUUCGGGAGGCUGGCGUGGAGGAUCCAUCCUUUGCCUCUUCCCGCUUUCAAUGCUUGUUGGCCUCCUCGGCUGUGAGCCGGGUCUCCCGUCUCUGCCUCUGUCUUCACGUGGCCCCACCCUGUGUCUUAUCUUCUCUCUCUUACGAGGACACUUGUCACUGGCCCACCUAGGUCAUCCGGGAUGGUCUCACCUCAAGACGCUUCACUUAGUUACACCUACAAAGACCCCUUUCCCAAAUAAACUCACGUUCACAGGAUCCUGCGAUUUGCACACAGACACAUCCUUGUGGGGCCCCCGUUCACCCCAUUCCACCUUUCGACAUUCUGGAGAAGAGCUGCCCUGCCCGGGAGAUACCCAGAUGGAUAGACCUGGCCCUACCCCAAGGGACCCACCCCCCAGUGGGAGCAUGGUGAGCCAAGAGAGGGAGCCGUGACGCCCGGGCUCCUACAUAACACGCGCUUAAUGUGGCCUCUCGAUUCCUCCAGUGUGGACUUUGCAUCUUGGCAUCUCCUUCUGGGGGAUGAGAAUUUCAGCUUUCCUGCACCUCCCUUUCUCCUCCCCAGCUCCCAGCAGAGCUGAAUCCGUGUUCACUGUUGCCGUGAGGAAGGCUGGAGGUGUUAUUCAUUGCUGGGCCAAGUGGGUCACUAUGAUUACAACCGAGGGCACGUGUUGUGUGCCCAGUAUUUACAGAUGAAAUGACCGUGUCUGGGAUUUGCUUGACAAUAAUCUUGGCGGAGGGGUAGGUCAGGAUAUGGGUCAAACCAAAUUGACCGUGUGGGUUGAUAGUUGUUGAAGGUGGGUGAUGGAUUCAUGAGGGUUUAUCAUAGCAUUCUCUUUUUGCAUUUGUGUGACAUCUUCUAUAAUAAUAUUUUAAUAGUUAUUUUAGGGAGACCCUCUGUGUUUUAAACCCUCAGUCUUUAGAUGUCUGGAAAAAUUGCUUCUUGGUCCUCACUUUGGAAUGUAAUUUACCCAAGUUUUGAACAUUAACUGCAGCCCACCCAUUUUACACCACAACUCAGCAUGCACGCACUACGUUUCAUCCAUUCUAUCGUGACUCCUUUGUGACAUUUUGGUGUCUGUGAAAUCAGGAUGUGUCUUACAAACGAUGGCAUCUUAGACUUGAUGAACUAUGGCGUACGACAAAACUUCACGUGGGCUGCAGCUUCUCUGCUGCUCCUCCCACUGACAGGUGGGGUCUCAUCCCCUGCAGCCUGGCCGGCCUCAGUGACUUGGUUGACCAAAUGAAUGUGGCAGAUGUGAUGUUUGGGGACCCCUGAAGUCAGGUCAUCAGAAGCCUUGCAGCUUCCACCUGAGCUCUGUGGGAACUCCUUCUCUGAAAGGAGUCAGCUGCCAAGUAAGACCAGCCACCCUGAGAGCGCCAUGCUGUAAGGAAGCCCGAGGUACCCACGUAGAGAGAUGGUGUUGAGCGAGACCCCCAGAUGUUGCCGCCCUCCCAUGAGGAGGUCACAAGGCCGGCCCAGAUUCGAGUCUGGAGAAACAGACCCCAUUCAUCUCUUGAUGGGAGGAGCAGCCGUGUCACUGCUAUGGACUGAGUGUGGACCCGCCAAAAUCCGAGCCCAAAUUGACCAGGACAGUCGCUUGGCAAAGAGAUGUGGACACGGAAGCAUGGUUCUUUGAAGGCUGUAGCAGACAGGUCAGGUGGCCACAACAGCAGAACACAGACUGGGUGACUUAAACAACAGACGUGUAUUUCCUCUCAGUCCUGGAGGCUAAAAAUUCCAAGAUCGAGGUGUCGACCGGGUGAGUUUCUCCUGAGGCCCCUCUCCUCGGCGUGUAGAUGCCGUCUUCUCCGUGUCCUCACCUGGCCUUCCCUCUGUGAGUCCACACCCCUGGUGUGUCCAAUCGUGUCAGAUCAGGGCCUCACCCGUAUGACCUAAUUUAACCAUAAUUACCUCUGUAAAAGCCCUGUCUCCAAAAACAGUCACAUUCUGGGGGUUAGGGACACAAUUCAGUCCCUAUAAUAAUGGCCAUUAUUGUAACAUUGGAAACGCUGUUUAUCACUUCCCAGGUGGACAGUUAUUUUCUCUCAACACACUAAAGAUGGUGGUCCAUCGUCCUCCAACAUCCACCGGGCAGAGGGCAAGUCUGUAGCGGGGCUCAUUGUCUGUCUUUUGCAAACCACCCGCCCUCUCGUUCUGGUACCUUUUACGCCUCUCCUACUUAUUCCUGAGAGCUUGCAGUUUUACCAUAAUGCUUCUAGGUGUAUGUUUUAUUUGUAUUUAUCAUCCUGGGAAUCGGAGAGCGCUUUGAGUUGGUUUGCAUCCUCUCAUCUUUCUUUGAUCACAGAAAUUUCACAUCUACAAUUUCCCGUGAUCACUUCACCAUUCUUUCCUUCUGUGCUUUCGGAACACCUGUUAAUGGCGCCUGGAGCGGCUCCGUUGGUCUUCCAUGUGACUUCUAUGCUCUAUCUCAUUUUUCAUUGCUUUGGAUGUGUUGUUUAUUCUGUUCUUCCUGACUAAUGACUUCCAAAUGGCGAAAUUUCCCCUUGACCAUGUCAAUCUCGAGUUAACCUCAUCUAUUGAGCUUUUCAUUUGAAUAACCACAUUUUUCGUGUUGUAUUGGUCAGCCCCGGCUGCCAUCACAAAAUACAAUAGAGCGGAGGGCUUACUCCACAGGAAUUUAUUUCUCACAGUUCUAGAGGCUGCGAAGUCCAAGACCAAGGUGCUGGCUGAUUGGGUUCCCUGCUGAGGGCUCUCUUCCUGGCUGGUGGACGGCUGCCUUCUUGCUGUCUUUUCACAUGACGGAGGGAGAGAGUAAGCAAGCUCUCUGGUGUCUGCUCUUACAAGGACACUAAUCCCAUGAUGAAGGCCCCAUUGUUAUGACCUCACCUAACCCUGAUUACCUCCCAAAGGCCUCAUUUCUAAAUACCUUCACAUGGUGGGGGGGUGGGGGGGGCGAGGAGCGGGUUAAGGUUUCAACAUAUAGAUUGGUGGUGGUGGGGACACACAAUUCAGUCCAUAGCACAUGUGUCAGAUUUUAAUAAUUUUUUAUAACUGCUUGUUUUUGUUUCUUUUCUCCUCCUCCUUGCCCCCACCAAAGCCCCCGAGUACAUAGUUGUAUAUUCUCAUUGUGGGUCCUUCUGGUUGUGCCGUGUGGGCCACCGCCUCAGCAUGCCCUGAUGAGCGGUGCCGCGUCAGCACCCAGGAUCUGAAUGGUGACACCCUGGGCCACCGAAGCAGAGCUCACGAACUUAACUACUCGGCCCUGGGGUCGGCCCCUG